UCGAGCCGAGCUUUUCUGUUCAUUUCAGGUUGGCUUCGUAACAAUAGCAAGUUUUAUGCUCUUACCCCCAACACACUCACACACACUCAGGCAGCUCUCACUUUUCAAACCCCUGCCUUUGGGUAUCUUGUGCUCAACAGCAUGUUACAGACCCAUGGGUAAGCGUCACGCUGAACAACGAGUUUUCCAGAUCCCCCCCCACGCUUCAUCUUUAAGGUUGAUAAGAUGAAAGUUCCAUAAGCUACACAGCGUAAAAAAAAAAAAAAAGGAGGCUGGAAAUGCGUUUCAUCCCGAAGGGCUUCACAGAGAGAGCAGAGUGUGUCUCGGACUGCACUGAUGGGGGGGGGGGCGACAUGCAGCAGCCUAACCCAGGAUACAGGUGCACAAAUCGGCGUUUAAUCAAAAACAGGAAGGCCGAAGAGCUCGGGUCGGAAGUCCUCCAUGCUGUCGAGCACCAGCGUAGCCCCCUGUUUUAGAGCACAGUCCAAGUUCUGAUCGGGAAUCAUGACCACCUGCAUGCCAGCCACCAAGCCUGCUUUCACUCCAUUGGGGGCGUCUUCAAAAACCAGACA